rnacentral:ncRNA from 1 species
GUUCUGGGAAUGAGGUUCUCCCGGGGAAAUAUCCCAAACCGCUUAUCAGGCUGAUGACUUCUG